rnacentral:rRNA from 1 species
UUUUAUAUGAGAGUUUGAUCCUGGCUCAGGAUGAACGCCGGCGGUGUGCCUAAUACAUGCAAGUCGUACGCACUGGCCCAACUGAUUGAUGGUGCUUGCACCUGAUUGACGAUGGAUCACCAGUGAGUGGCGGACGGGUGAGUAACACGUAGGUAACCUGCCCCGGAGCGG